AGGAUGAACGCUGGCGGCGUGCCUAACACAUGCAAGUCGAACGUCCUGUCUCGCAAGAGGCAGGGAGUGGCGGACGGGUGAGUACCACGUGGGUCAUCUACCGUGAGGUGAGGAAUACCGGCGAGAAAUCGCCGACAAGACCGCAUAGGCUCGAUGCAAGUCGAGCAAAGCUCUUUCGAGAGAGGGAGCGCCACACGAGGAGCCUGCGCCCGAUUAGCUAGCUGGUGGAGUAACGGUUCACCAGGGCGACGAUCGGUAGCUGGUCUGAGAGGACGAUCAGCCACACUGGGAUUGAGAACGGCCCAGACUCCUACGGGGGCAGCAGUGAGGAAUUUUCGUCAAUGGGGGCAACCCUGAACGAGCAACGCCGCGUGCAGGAGAAGGUUUCGGAUCGUAAACUGUCUUUUCGUCGGGGAAGAGAACGGACGGUACCCGAGGAAUCGACGCCCCGGCUAACUACGUGCCAGCAGCCGCGGU
rnacentral:rRNA from 1 species